GACGAACGCUGGCGGCGUGCCUAACACAUGCAAGUCGAGCGAGUGAAUCUCCUUCGGGAGUGAAGCUAGCGGCGGACGGGUGAGUAACACGUGGGCAACCUGCCUCAUAGAGGGGAAUAGCCUUUCGAAAGGAAGAUUAAUACCGCAUAAGAUUGUAGCUUCGCAUGAAGUAGCAAUUAAAGGAGCAAUCCGCGAUGAGAUGGGCCCGCGGCGCAUUAGCUAGUUGGUGAGGUAACGGCUCACCAAGGCGACGAUGCGUAGCCGACCUGAGAGGGUGAUCGGCCACAUUGGGACUGAGACACGGCCCAGACUCCCACGGGAGGCAGCAGUGGGGAAUAUUGCACAAUGGGGGAAACCCUGAUGCAGCAACGCCGCGUGAGUGAUGACGGCCUUCGGGUUGUAAAGCUCUGUCUUCAGAGACGAUAAUGACGGUACCUGAGGAGGAAGCCACGGCUAACUACGUGCCAGCCGCCGCAGUAA
rnacentral:rRNA from 1 species